GAUGAACGCUGGCGGCGUGCCUAAUACAUGCAAGUCGAGCGAACGGACGAGAAGCUUGCUUUUCUGAUGUUAGCGGCGGACGGGUGAGUAACACGUGGAUAACCUACCUAUAAGACUGGGAUAACUUCGGGAAACCGGAGCUAAUACCGGAUAAUAUUUUGAACCGCAUGGUUCAAAAGUGAAAGACGGUCUUGCUGUCACUUAUAGAUGGAUCCGCGCUGCAUUAGCUAGUUGGUAAGGUAACGGCUUACCAAGGCAACGAUGCAUAGCCGACCUGAGAGGGUGAUCGGCCACACUGGAACUGAGCCACGGUCCCGACUCCUACGGGAGGCAGCAGUAGGGAAUCUUCCGCAAUGGGCGAAAGCCUGACGGAGCAACGCCGCGUGAGUGAUGAAGGUCUUCGGAUCGUAAAACUCUGUUAUUAGGGAAGAACAUAUGUGUAAGUAACUGUGCACAUCUUGACGGUACCUAAUCAGAAAGCCACGGCUAACUACGUG
rnacentral:rRNA from 1 species